GACGAACGCUGGCGGCGUGCCUAAUACAUGCAAGUCGAACGAGAGCGACCGGUGCUUGCACUGGUCAAUCUAGUGGCGAACGGGUGAGUAACACGUGGGUAACCUGCCCAUCAGAGGGGGAUAACAUCCGGAAACGGAUGCUAAAACCGCAUAGGUCUUCGAACCGCAUGGUUUGAAGAGGAAAAGAGGCGCAAGCUUCUGCUGAUGGAUGGACCCGCGGUGCAUUAGCUAGUUGGUGAGGUAACGGCUCACCAAGGCCGUGAUGCAUAGCCGACCUGAGAGGGUGAUCGGCCACAUUGGGACUGAGACACGGUCCAAACUCCUACGGGAGGCAGCAGUAGGGAAUCUUCCGCAAUGGACGCAAGUCUGACGGAGCAACGCCGCGUGAGUGAAGAAGGUUUUCGGAUCGUAAAACUCUGUUGUUAGAGAAGAACAAGUGCUAGAGUAACUGUUAGCGCCUUGACGGUAUCUAACCAGAAAGCCACGGCUAACUACGUG
rnacentral:rRNA from 1 species